AGUGAACGCUGGCGGUAGGCCUAACACAUGCAAGUCGAACGGCAGCACAGUAAGAGCUUGCUCUUACGGGUGGCGAGUGGCGGACGGGUGAGGAAUACAUCGGCAUCUACUUUUUCGUGGGGGAUAACGUAGGGAAACUUACGCUACUACCGCAUACGACCUACGGGUGAAAGCAGUGGAUCUUCGGACCUUGCGCGAUUGAAUGAGCCGAUGUCGGAUUAGCUAGUUGGCGGGGUAAAGGCCCACCAAGGCGACGAUCCGUAGCUGGUCUGAGAGGAUGAUCAGACACACUGGAACUGAGACACGGUCCAGACUCCUACGGGAGGCAGCAGUGGGGAAUAUUGGACAAUGGGAGCAAGCCUGAUCCAGCAAUACCGCGUGGGUGAAGAAGGCCUUCGGGUCGUAAAGCCCUUUUGUUGGGAAAGAAAAGCAGCAGGUUAAUACCCCGCUGUUCUGACGGUACCCAAAGAAUAAGCACCGGCUAACUUCGUG
rnacentral:rRNA from 1 species